AUUGAACGCUGGCGGCAGGCCUAACACAUGCAAGUCGAACGAGUGGCAGACGGGUGAGUAAUGUCUGGGAAACUGCCUGAUGGAGGGGGAUAACUACUGGAAACGGUAGCUAAUACCGCAUACCAUCGGAUGUGCCCAGAUGGGAUUGGCUAGUAGGUGGGGUAACCGCUCACCGAGGCGAAGAUCCCUAGCUGGUCUGAGAGGAUGACCAGCCACACUGGAACUGAGACACGGUCCAGACUCCUACGGGAGGAAGCAGUGGGGAAUAGUGCACUAUGGGCGCAAGCCUGAUGCAGCCAUGCCGCGUGUAUGAAGAAGGCCUUCGGGUUGUAAAGUACUUUCAGCGGGGAGGCGUUACCCGCAGAAGAAGCACCGGCUAACUCCGUGUCAGCAGCCGCGGUAAUUC
rnacentral:rRNA from 1 species